UAACCAGCUUUUAUCACUGUGGUACACGUUUGGUGGUGGGACCAAACUCAUCCUAAACACUGGCCCCAUGGUCAGACCCUCAGUCUCUCUGCUCCCCCCCUCCUCUGAGCAGACCUCCGGGGGCUCGGCCACGCUGGCCUGCCUGCUGACCGGCUACUCUCCUCAGGGAGCCGUGGUGAGCUGGGAGGUGGACGGCACUGAGGUGACAGAGGGGGUCCUGACCAGCUCGGAGGAGGAGAAGAGCGGACGCUACAGCAGCAGCAGCACCCUGACCCUGAGCCGGGACCGCUGGCUGCAGGGAGAGCUGUACUCCUGCAAGGUCGCCCAUCACCAGCACACCCAGAGCCAGUCCCUCCACAGGAGCCAGUGUGAGGGCUAGAGUGGCUGGAUGAAGCCCGGAGCAGGAGGAAGGACACGCCCGCUGCUCUCAUCAAAAUCUGUUUGAAUGUCAGAGUCACUUCAAGCUUUGUGUGAUGGAGAACACGACUGUAUAGUGUUGGACAGCAACAGCUUGGAGAGGAGUGUGUGUAGCAGCUAGACGUGAAUGUGCUUGAUAACUGUCAUGUUGAUGAUUGAUGCUUUGCAAAUAAAGCUUGCUCUGAAAAUCA